rnacentral:rRNA from 1 species
GAUGAACGCUGGCGGCGUGCCUAAUACAUGCAAGUCGAGCGAACAGACGAGGAGCUUGCUCCUCUGACGUUAGCGGCGGACGGGUGAGUAACACGUGGAUAACCUACCUAUAAGACUGGGAUAACUUCGGGAAACCGGAGCUAAUACCGGAUAAUAUAUUGAACCGCAUGGUUCAAUAGUGAAAGACGGUUUUGCUGUCACUUAUAGAUGGAUCCGCGCCGCAUUAGCUAGUUGGUAAGGUAACGGCUUACCAAGGCGACGAUGCGUAGCCGACCUGAGAGGGUGAUCGGCCACACUGGAACUGAGACACGGUCCAGACUCCUACGGGAGGCAGCAGUAGGGAAUCUUCCGCAAUGGGCGAAAGCCUGACGGAGCAACGCCGCGUGAGUGAUGAAGGGCUUCGGAUCGUAAAACUCUGUUAUUAGGGAAGAACAAAUGUGUAAGUAACUAUGCACGUCUUGACGGUACCUAAUCAGAAAGCCACGGCUAACUACGU